rnacentral:rRNA from 1 species
GACGAACGCUGGCGGCGUGCUUAACACAUGCAAGUCGAACGGAAAGGCCCUGCUUUUGUGGGGUGCUCGAGUGGCGAACGGGUGAGUAACACGUGAGUAACCUGCCCUUGACUUUGGGAUAACUUCAGGAAACUGGGGCUAAUACCGGAUAGGAGCUCCUGCUGCAUGGUGGGGGUUGGAAAGUUUCGGCGGUUGGGGAUGGACUCGCGGCUUAUCAGCUUGUUGGUGGGGUAGUGGCUUACCAAGGCUUUGACGGGUAGCCGGCCUGAGAGGGUGACCGGCCGCAUUGGGACUGAGAUACGGCCCAGACUCCUACGGGAGGCAGCAGUGGGGAAUAUUGCACGAUGGGCGGAAGCCUGAUGCAGCAACGCCGCGUGCGGGAUGACGGCCUUCGGGUUGUAAACCGCUUUCGCCUGUGACGAAGCGUGAGUGACGGUAAUGGGUAAAGAAGCACCGGCUAACUACGUG